CUUUUCCCAUCAUUUCCUUGCCCUGGGCCAAAUUUGUCCAGCCAGUGUAUUUAGUCAAGCAAUGGUUAUACGUUGAUCUUGCUAUGACGACAUAUGUAAGCAACAAGAAAGCCUUUGGUUUGCCAAAAAAAAUCCUUUACCCUUACAAAAGCGAAAAAGCCAAACCAUAGUUAUUCGUUACUGUUUACCACAUUUGCAAAAAGAGUUGAAAUACGCAAAUUCUCUUCAUUGGCUCCGUCGUAUAGGUUGUCCAUUUCAUUCCCUAUAGAACCAAACCCAAACAACAAAAUUCCAACUUCUCUUUCCCUAGGUUUUUUUUUCGUUUCAGUUCAUAAGCUCCCAUGGGGCUGCACCUAUUAGCACUAGCCAAACUCCACCUCUUAUCUCCCUCCCGUAGUUUCACUCCUUUACCUGCAGGCUUCAUUUGCCCUUUUGUGCUCAAACUUUCCUUCAGUUUGAGGAUUGUUCGUCGGGUUUACAUCGAUGUCAUUGAUGCAUCUCGGCUCUUCCUUUUCCAGUUGAGUCAGAUAGCUUUCGAAGCUGAUCAGCCAGCUCCGGAAAAUGGGGACAGAUGGGAGCGAGCUCUUCGGUUAGUUUGCCAGAGGAUAACCCAUGUGAGAAGGUCUCCGAUGGGACAAUCUGACGAGGAUAGCUUCCGCACUCUCACCAUGCUUUCACUUUAGGGAGAUGGUCAUUACGGAGUUUUCUCAUAGUUAUAAGGUGUACUAUGGCUUUGCAAAUGGUGGUUCUGGCUACCCUUCUAUCCCCCUCUCAUGGCGUAAGUCCCAUUCUAGUUGGUUUGGCGUGCUCCUUUCUAUUUAAACUCUCGUUCAAUUUCAGCCUUCUUCGUCAAGGUUGUAUUGAUACAUGUCACGGCAUUAGGAUUUUAAUGUAUCACAUGGGUCAAAUAGCCUUUGGCAUUGAACCAGCUCUUGGCAGCAGCAGCAGCAGCCGCAGAUGGGAGCAAGCUCUGCAGAUGAUCUACGAGAGAGCAAUCAAUGUGAGAAGGUCACCUACAUCUGUUGAUACUAGCUUCCAUGCCUUCACUACGCUUUCACUUUGACCAUUUAAUAAUAGUAAUACGUUCAAUUCAGUCUUUCAUGUAACGUGGCUACUACAUUUGUUUAGGUUCUAUAGUUAUUUUAUUUCUUCAGAAUUUAUGCUUGUAGAUGGAUAACAGUUGUAAAGUUAGAUGAGAUUCCUCAUUCAAUACUUUUGUAAAGAAAAGGAAUAAAAUAAAAGAUUCUGUCUUCUUCUUUUUCAAUCUGACCUGUUGGUUUACAGGUUAGCAUCAUUUCCAUAA